rnacentral:rRNA from 1 species
AGUAACACGUGAGCAACCUGCCCCAGGCUUUGGGAUAACCCCGGGAAACCGGGGCUAAUACCGAAUAUGACCUUGCACCGCAUGGUGUUUGGUGGAAAGUUUUUCGGCUUGGGAUGGGCUCGCGGCCUAUCAGCUUGUUGGUGGGGUGAUGGCCUACCAAGGCGACGACGGGUAGCCGGCCUGAGAGGGCGACCGGCCACACUGGGACUGAGACACGGCCCAGACUCCUACGGGAGGCAGCAGUGGGGAAUAUUGCACAAUGGGCGGAAGCCUGAUGCAGCGACGCCGCGUGAGGGAUGACGGCCUUCGGGUUGUAAACCUCUUUCAGCAGGGACGAAGCGUAAGUGACGGUACCUGCAGAAGAAGCGCCGGCCAACUACGUGCCAGCAGCCGCGGUAAGACGUAGGGCGCGAGCGUUGUCCGGAUUUAUUGGGCGUAAAGAGCUCGUAGGCGGCUUGUCGCGUCGACCGUGAAAACCUG